rfam:Alicyclobacillus ferrooxydans strain TC-34 contig_65, whole genome shotgun sequence.
UCCACCGUGAGGUGGAAUCUGAAGGAAGGCGGCGGCAAAUCUCCGGCCCGAGGAACACAAACCUCAUGUGAGGCUAGCGACAGUUGGGUGAGUCUGCGUAGCAAGACAAAGCCCAUGCUACCGAAGGCUGUCGGGAGUAGAUGGGGCGGGUAUAUGGAGAGAAAGACAACGUU